GACGUAGGGGGCAAGCGUUGUCCGGAAUUAUUGGGCGUAAAGCGCUCGUAGGCGGAUCGGUAAGUCUGUGAAGAAAGACCCGGGCUCAACUCGGGGAACGGCAUAGAUACUGCUGAUCUUGAGACAGUCAGAGGAUGAUGGAAUUCCAGGUGUAGCGGUGAAAUGCGUAGAUAUCUGCAGGAACACCCGUGGCGAAGGCGGCUCGCUGGACCGCAACUGACGCUGAGGAACGAAAGCUAGGGGAGCAAACAGG
rnacentral:rRNA from 1 species